rnacentral:rRNA from 1 species
UACGUAGGUGGCAAGCGUUGUCCGGAUUUACUGGGCGUAAAGAGCGCGCAGGCGGUCGUUCAAGUCGCGUGUGAAAGCCCCCGGCUCAACUGGGGAGGGUCACGCGAUACUGAUCGACUCGAAGGCAGGAGAGGGAAGUGGAAUUCCCGGUGUAGUGGUGAAAUCCGUAGAUAUCGGGAGGAACACCAGUGGCGAAGGCGGCCAUCUGGACGGUGACUGACGCUGAGACGCGAAAGCGUGGGGAGCAAACAGG